UAAUGAUCCUUCCGCAGGUUCACCUACGGAAACCUUGUUACGACUUUUACUUCUCUAAAUGACGGGUUUGACCAACUUUCCGGCUCUGGGGGGUCGUUGCCAACCUCCUGAGCCAGUCCGAAGGCCUCACGAGCCAUUCAAUCGGUAGUAGCGACGGGCGGUGUGUACAAAGGGCAGGGACGUAAUCGGCACGAGCUGAUGACUCGUGCUACUAGGCAUUCCUCGUUGAAGAGCAAUAAUUGCAAUGCUCUAUCCCAGCACGACAGGGUUUAACAAGAUUACCAGACUCUCGGCCAAGGUGAUGUACUCGCUGGCCUGUCAGUGUAGCGCGCGUGCGGCCCAGAACAUCUAAGGGCAUCACAGACCUGUUAUUGCGCGCACUUCCAUCGGCUUGAGCCGAUAGUCCCCUAAGAAGCCAGCGGCCCGCAAAUGCGGACCGGGCUAUUUAAGGGCCGAGGUCUCGUUCGUUAUCGCAAUUAAGCAGACAAAUCACUCCACCAACUAAGAACGGCAUGCACCACAUCCAAAGAUCAAGAAAGAGCUCUCAAUCUGUCAAUCCUUAUUUUGUCUGGACUGGUGAGUUUCCCGUGUUGAGUCAAAUUAAGCCGCAGGCUCCACGCUGGUGGUGCCUUCCGUCAAUUUCUUUAAGUUUCAGCCUUGCGACAUACUCCCCCAGAACCAAAAACUUUGAUUUCUCGUAAGGUGCGAACGGGUCAUAAUAGAAACCGUCCGAUCCUAGUCGGCAUAGUUUAUGGUUAAGACUACGACGGUAUCUGAUCGUCUUCGAUCCCUAACUUUCGUUCCUGAUUAAUGAAAACAUCCUUGGCGAAUGCUUUCGCAGUAGUUAGUCUUCAGCAAUCCAAGAAUUUCACCUCUGACAGCUGAAUAUGAGCCCCGACUAUCCUAUUAAUCAUUACGGCGGUCUAGAAACAACAAAUAGAACGCACGUCCUAUUCUAUUAUUCCAUGCUAAUGUAUUGAGCAAAGGCUGCUUUGAACACUCUAAUUUUUUCACAGUAAAGUCCUGGUUCCCCACAGCCAGUGAAGGCAUGAGAUUCCCAGAAGGAAAGGUCAGCGGACAGUAUCGCGGUGAGGCGGACCGGCCAGCCAGACCAAGGUUCAACUACGAGCUUUUUAACUGCAACAACUUUAAUAUACGCUAUUGGAGCUGGAAUUACGCGGCUGCUGGCACAGACUUGCCUCCAAUUGUUCUCGUUAAGGGAUUUAGAUUGUACUCAUUCAAUUACGAGACCCAAAGAGCCCGUAUCAGUAUUUAUUGUCAUACCUCCCGUGUCGGGAUUGGGUAAUUUGCGCGCCUGCUGCUUCCUUGGAUGUGGUAGCCGUUUCUCAGGCUCCUCUCCGGAAUCGAACCUAAUUCCCGUUACCCGUUGCCACAUGGUAGGCACUAUCUACCAUCGAAAGUUGAUAGGGCAGAAAUUUGAAUGAACCAUCGCCGGCGCAAGGCCAUGCGAUUCGUUAAGUUAUUAUGAUUCACCAAGGAGCCCGAAGGGCAUUGGUUUUUUAUCUAAUAAAUACACCCUUCCGAAGUCGAGGUUUUCAGCAUGUAUUAGCUCUAGAAUUACACAGGUAUCCAUGUAGUAAGGUACUAUCAAUAAACGAUAACUGAUUUAAUGAGCCAUUCGCAGUUUCACAGUAUAAAGUGCUUAUACUUAGACAUGCAUGGCUUAAUCUUUGAGACAAGCAUAUGAUACUGGCAGAAUCAACCAGAUA
rnacentral:rRNA from 1 species